CCUACGGGGGGCAGCAGUGGGGAAUAUUGGACAAUGGGGGGAACCCUGAUCCAGCCAUGCCGCGUGUGUGAAGAAGGCCCUCGGGUUGUAAAGCACUUUCAGUGAGGAAGAACGCCUGGUGGUUAAUACCCAUCAGGAAAGACAUCACUCACAGAAGAAGCACCGGCUAACUCCGUGCCAGCAGCCGCGGUAAUACGGAGGGUGCGAGCGUUAAUCGGAAUUACUGGGCGUAAAGCGCGCGUAGGUGGCUUGAUAAGCCGGUUGUGAAAGCCCCGGGCUCAACCUGGGAACGGCAUCCGGAACUGUCAAGCUAGAGUGCAGGAGAGGACGGUAGAAUUCCCGGUGUAGCGGUGAAAUGCGUAGAGAUCGGGAGGAAUACCAGUGGCGAAGGCGGCCUUCUGGACUGACACUGACACUGAGGUGCGAAAGCGUGGGUAGCAAACAGGAUUAGAUACCCUUGUAGUC
rnacentral:rRNA from 1 species